rnacentral:rRNA from 1 species
UACGGAGGAUGCGAGCGUUAUCCGGAUUUAUUGGGUUUAAAGGGUGCGUAGGCGGGCUGUUAAGUCAGCGGUCAAAUGUCGGGGCUCAACACCGGCCGGCCGUUGAAACUGGCAGCCUUGAGUGAGCGAGAAGUAUGCGGAAUGCGUGGUGUAGCGGUGAAAUGCAUAGAUAUCACGCAGAACUCCGAUUGCGAAGGCAGCAUACCGGCGCUCAACUGACGCUCAUGCACGAAAGUGUGGGUAUCGAACAGG